AUACGGAGGAUCCGAGCGUUAUCCGGAUUUAUUGGGUUUAAAGGGUGCGCAGGCGGCCAUUUAAGUCAGCGGUUAAAUCGUGGGGCUCAACCCCAUUCUGCCGUUGAUACUGGGUGGCUUGAUUGCGGUCGAGGUUGGCGGAAUUCGUUGUGUAGCGGUGAAAUGCAUAGAUAUGACGAAGAACACCGAUUGCGUAGGCAGCUGCCCAGCCCGCAAAGGACGGUCAUGCUCGAAAGUGCGGGGAUCGAGCAGGAUUAGAUGCACUGGUAGCCCGCACAGUAAACGAUGAAUACUUGAUUUCGGCGAUAGAAUGUCGGAGGCAAAGCGAAAGCGAUAAGUAUUCCACCUGGGGAGUACGCCGGCACCGGUGAAACUCAAAGGGAUUGACGGGG
rnacentral:rRNA from 1 species